rnacentral:rRNA from 1 species
UCAGAGUUUAUCUGGCUCAGGACGAACGCUGGCGGCGUGCCUAACACAUGCAAGUCGAGCGGAGACAGUGAGUAGCUUGCUAUGAGCUGUUUUAGCGGCGGACGGGUGAGUAACGCGUGAGCAACCUUUCCCAGACAGGGGAAUAACACACCGAAAGGUGUACUAAUACCGCAUAAGACCACGGGAUCACAUGGUUCUGGGGUAAAAGAUUUAUCGGUUUGGGGUGGGCUCGCGUCCGAUUAGGUAGUUGGUGAGGUAACGG